GAUGAAGAACGUAGCGAAAUGCGAUAAGUAAUGUGAAUUGCAGAAUUCAGUGAAUCAUCGAAUCUUUGAACGCACAUUGCGCCCGCUAGUAUUCUGGCGGGCAUGCCUGUCCGAGCGUCAUUUCAACCCUCAAGCCCCCGGGCUUGGUGUUGGGGAUCGGCGAGCCUCCGCGCCCGCCGUCCCCUAAAUCUAGUGGCGGUCUCGCUGUAGCUUCCUCUGCGUAGUAGCACACCUCGCACUGGGAAACAGUGCGGCCACGCCGUUAAACCCCCAACUUCUGAACGUUUGACCUCGGAUCAGGUAGGAAUACCCGCUGAACUUAAGCAUAUCAAUAAGCGGAGGA
rnacentral:misc_RNA from 1 species